ACUGUGGCAAUUCUAGAGCUAAUACAUGCCAACGAACGCUGACCUUCGGGGAUGCGUGCAUUUAUCAGACCCAAAACCCAUGCGGGGUGCUCUCCGGGGCGCCCCGGCCGCUUUGGUGACUCUAGAUAACCUCGAGCCGAUCGCUGGCCCUCGUGGCGGCGACGUCUCAUUCGAAUGUCUGCCCUAUCAACUUUCGAUGGUACUUUCUGUGCCUACCAUGGUGACCACGGGUAACGGGGAAUCAGGGUUCGAUUCCGGAGAGGGAGCCUGAGAAACGGCUACCACAUCCAAGGAAGGCAGCAGGCGCGCAAAUUACCCACUCCCGACUCGGGGAGGUAGUGACGAAAAAUAACAAUACAGGACUCUUUCGAGGCCCUGUAAUUGGAAUGAGCACA
rnacentral:rRNA from 1 species